AAACGCAGUCUGUCCCGGAGGCCACACCGUGGCUGUGUGGUUGUGUUAGGCUGUGGCGACAGCGGAGAGGAGGAGGCCGAGGGCUGGAGCAGAGCCUGGCCGUGGUUCUGAGGGGUUCACCUUCAGAGGAAGGCGCUUUCCGGGCUGUUGCCAACACGGGCUUUGGGACAACUUGAGGCCGUCUCAGUUCUCCCUGCACCGCGGGGAUAACGCGCCAGAUGAAGGGGCUUUUUUUCUUCCUCUUCUGCCACCAAUGCCUCCUCCUCCUCCUCCUCUUCUUCUUUUUUGUGUUGUUUAAAAUUUUCCUGCUAGUAGCCGUCCUUCCUGGAAGAGCAGCAUCUGAGAAUUCAAGGGCUGGGUGUGACUUUGAGACAGGGAACUGCCUGUCCUUCGCCGGGCGAGCAUCUGACCGCCUGAGCCGGGGCUGGUCUCUGUUAGCACCCUGCCCGGGACACAGAUGCCGGCGUUUUGCUUUAUACCUCGUCCUCACCACUCCCCACCAUCCUCCCUCCUGUAAUUAAGUGCAGGACCUGUGGUUGGGUCUCGGGCGGGUUUGGGAGAUACAGAUUUGCACUCGCUUCCUGUUGCUGGAUGCAGGUUGACUCCUUGAGCUCCUGGUGAGGCCGGAGCAGAGCUGAGAGCUGGGCAGUCUGCCUUCCGGCAGCCCAUCCUGUAACUGGCAGCUUCAUGGGCCGGCGUGGUACGGUCUGUCAGUGGUCCAUGGCUCCAGGACCACCCUGGGGCACCUGGCCAGCCUAGGUGCCUCCCUCCUAUCACCCGGGCCCUGUACGUAAGUCUCCCCUCCCUUACAAAGGGCCUUGGGGAUGCUGCAGGCCUCAGGCUGCUCGGGCACCAAGGCCCACUUCACAGGCCCCUGGACCCUGAGAACUGCUGUGUAACCCAUCACUAGCAGGGAUCUCAGACCUCGUCGAGGGGGAGGGUCACACAGGCUGAACGGGGUUACCUCGGGGGAAGCAGCCCCGAUUAAAUCCCAAAUGAGGAGGAAGAGGGCUGUGCUGGGGCGAGUGAGAGGGGGAAGGACCAGACACAGCGGACCCCAGCACUAGCUGCGAGGGGCUCAGCCACUGCCGACUCUCUGGGAGGCCCUGUCUCCCCAGAGCUUGCGUUCCUGACAUAGAUCUAAACCCAGCAUGUCAUAUGCCAUCACCGAAAUAACAACCAGAUUGCAUGCAAGAUCGAAAAAAUUCUUUUAGGAGUUCCUGUCGUGGCUCAGCAGUUAACGAACCUGGCUAGGAACCAUGAGGUUUGCGGGUUCAAUCCCUGGCCUCGAGCACAGUGGGUUAAAGAUCUGGCGUUGCUGUGGCUCUGGCCUAGGCCGGCAGCUACAGCUCUGAUUGGACCCCUGGCCUGGGAACCUCCGUGUGCUGCAGCUGCGGCCCUAAAAAGCAAAUAAAAAAAAAAAAAAAAUUGUUUACUGAUACCCCAAAGGAAAUGUGGCCAUUCCUCAGAAUCGUCGAAUUUACUCAGGACACGCGUUAGGUGUCGUCGGCUGGUCUACUCACCCGCACCCCUAAGACCGCCCCCGAGGCACCCCGACCUGGAUGUGUCUCCUGCCCGCACCCUUUGCGUUCUCGCUUCUCGCCUUCACCCUCUCCCAGCGGCGCCAUCCUCUGCUCCACUUCCAAACCGGAGCCUGGGAGGCACCCUCCACGCCCUCGCCCGCAGCCCUCCAUCGAACCCGCGUCGAAAUCUGUGCCUUUUCCCUCAGGAUGCCUCGCCACGUGGCUCCUCUUUGUCGCCGCCUUACAUCAGGCUGUCGCCGUCCAGCUCUGGUCUGAGGCCCUAGCCUCUUCCCCUUGGCUCUGUGUCUGUCACCCCUUGAAAGGUCCAGGCCUCGCAGGGAAAACUGGAAUUCCUUCCCCGGGGCGAUUGCUCAGGGCUCUUCACCGCCUAUUCCUCCCCCUUCUCCAAGGUCUCCCGGUGCCUUUUUAGGUGUUCCCAGCAGGGAAUUUAGUUGCAGGAGUCCGCAGUGGGCUCCACAGGUCAGGGCAAUACUGGGAAGUCACACACAGGAGGCUUGGAGGGAGGCAACCCCGAGGUGACUCACCGUGGGAAGCUGCCCACCCCUUCCUUUAAGGGCAGAAGUGAUGCAGGGAGCAUGUGGUGUUCCCAGGGCUUUGGAACUGGGCACCUGCCUGGUGGAAGCUGGUCUGCAGAGCGAGGGGCCGUUACUGGGAACCCUGGAAACAGAGGGGUCGUGGGGGGGUCACCCCUCACCUCCCUUCAGGAUGCAGACCAGAGCAGAGCAGAGCAGCUCUGAAAGCAGACAGGCGGCUGACCGGCAUGUCCCCUGACUCCACUUCAGCGACAGUCAAUCAUUUAGGGUUCCGGAACUCGGUGAUGCCGUCGGGGAAACUGUUUUCUCUGCUUCAUCAAGAAAAUGCCUCCUCCUUCAGGACCAGCGAAGUGUUGUCUCCUCUGUGGAGUCAGCGCAGACACCUCAGAAAAUGUUAGCUGCCCCCCAUCUGAACCUGUCUCGAUGGGACUUGCCACCAGGGUAUUGCCUUGUAUCACUCCCCUGUCUGAGCCCCCCUGGGCAGACGCGUUGUCACAGGUCUCUGCAUCCCUGAGUCUGUGCAGGGAUGUUCAGACAAGGCGGCCGUGGCCAUCUCCCCACGUGGCACGGCGGCUGAGGGCAGAGCAGGGCCUGAGCCUCCGCUCAUGCCCUGGGAUUCUAUCUGUAGCCACCGGUAACUCCCAAGAAUCAGAACUUGAAAACCUUGGAGGCAGCUCCUGGGCUUACAUCUUAUGAAGCAGAUCAUAAUAUAUAAAAGCAUUCUGGAGUUUUCCAAACCUUCAUUAAUCUAAGCAAAACGUUUGGAGGAGGUGGGGUGGGGGGUGGGGCUGUGGAAGUCGUGUGGACAGACAGGGACCUUCCUUUUUUUGUUAAACUAGUGACUAAAUUCGCCUAGACUGGUAUCCUUUUUAUUGUAACGAAAAGCCAAACUCUUGCUGCUUGGGGAUGUGAGACACUUUGUUAUGCGCCCCCCAGACGGAGCAGAAGAAUAUGAACAGUGGGGCCAGGUCGAGGGGAGAAAAGAAUUUAAAUCUCGACAUCACAGCUUUUCUUUGGAAUUUCUAGAAAAUUCUCAGGAAAAGGAUGCAUCAAUUUAUGAAGCUUAAAAAUGGCCUUUAAAAAAGACUCUGUAAGAGUUCUUAGGGAGCAGAUGGGGAGUGAUUUUCUCUUGUCUUUUUGGGUUUGAGUGAAUACCUUCAGCAGGGGGGCUGCGGUCAUUCCGUCGAAGGCAGGAAUGAGGCACCGUUUUCUGCAGUCAGGAGGUAGACAAGCUCUAGCGGUCAUUUUGAAGAUUGUUUUGUUUCUUAUUUAUAAGAACCGAGCUCUUGUGCUCUUCCUGUUACAUAAGCUGUUAUACCCAGAGGGGAGGAUUUUCAUAAAAUGGAGCUCUUACUCAUUUCCACCAAAGAGCUGCCCGGGGAUGACAGAGCACCAGCUGGGAGUGUUAGAGAAAUGUAUUUGUCAGACCAAGAAAUGUCAGCCUUUAUCGUUCUAUCACUGGGGCUCUCGAAUGUCCGCGAGCACAGCGCGCUGAUUCCAUUUUUGGAGCUGAGUCACAGGCCUGGGGCGGCUUCAGAGGAAGGAGGCAGACCCCGGCUCUCUGUCUAAGAACAUCGCCCUGAAACAUCGCGAGUCCAAAGGGUAGAGCAGAGCAUAAGUGCCUAGUUUUCAAAAUGUUGAAUGCGACAAGAACUUGAUUUUGUAAAACAAACAUCGGGUCAGAUAGCAGAUUGGAGAGGCACCGAGGCGACAGAUGUGCUGUCCGGGGCCGGGCAAGACACACAGUGGUGGGGACAGCGGGCCGGGGCCCCGGGCCUCCGCGGGAGCCUGCAGCCUGGCUGUGAGGGUCAUGCCCUGCCGCACCUGCCCGUGCAAAGCCUGACCGCCACGCAGGCCCACCUGGCGGCCUGAUGGAGCGGCGGUCCCCACAGUGGGCUUCAGGGACCCCGGGGAUGCUGGAGCAGCGCUGACUGGGAAUUGAGCCUCUGACAGCUAAUGCGCUCUUAGAUCCUUCAGGUAUGUUUAGACACACAAUUGACAACUUUUACAAACCAGGGCUUCUCCCCAAGGGGAGCAGAUUGUGAAACAUUUCCCAGCACGCCCCUGCCUGGGGCUUGCGGCCACCCUUUCCGGGGAUCUGCACGGGCAAAACUCUGCCUCGUCAUAUGAAGGUGUCAUUUUUCCAUUUUUACUCUCCUUUCAUGAGUGUGCAGAUGUUUUCCAGACGUAACACGAUGUGCUACUGCAGCUGAUGGAAUGGGCAAUAGAUGUGAAGAUCCAGCUGCUUUCUCUGAGGCCCAAACAGACAUGUGCAAAUAUGUGAAAGACAAAUAACUAAAAAUUCAGAGUUCCCACUGUGGCGCAGUGGGUUAAGAAUUGAACCUCGGCAGCUCAGGUUCAAUCCUCAGCCCGGGAACUUUCAUAAACCAUGAGUGCAACCCCAAAAGAAAAAAAUGCCACUCCUUUCACUGAUUUUUUCUUUCGGAAAAUGAUUAUUUUUCAUAAAAAGAUUAUUUAUGUUAACAUAUAAUUGGCUCAUUAUUAUCUUAGAGUGAAUUAAUACAAUUUUUAGGAGUUCCCUUGUGGUGCAGUGGGUUAAGGAUCCAGCAUUGCCGCUGCCAUGGCUUGGGUUGCUGCUGUGGUGAGGGUUCAGUCCCUGGCCUGGGAACUUCCACAUGCUGCAAGCUUGCCCCCCAAAAAAUAAAUAUUUAAUUCCUUAUUUUAAUUUCAAAUAUGGUAAACAUUAGUAAAUAUAACCCACAUAAUCCCAAACUCUUGGAGUCGUCAAUUUUUUUAAGAGACUUCAUUUUUUAGGGUUGUUUUCCAUGCACAGCAAAAUCGAGUGGAAGGUAGAGAAAGACGGGCAGACACACAGAUAAGCACAUUAAAUCCUUGUGCCAGAAAGAGGAUAGGAUGGCGUGGAGGGGAACCCGAACUGAGUUUUGUACGUCGCGCUGCCCUGUGCUGGGGAGUGAACAAGCCUGCUGCUUUGGGGUACAUCUCUGGGGGUCCACACUUAGGGGCCGUGAGGCAUAGGCACGAGCACAGGCGGUGCUUGUUCUCCUUCCCGGGGAUCGAGAACACGGGGCGGAUGGGGGCAGCUUGGAAUGGGUUCUCCCUCUCCUCUGGGAGAAAGGCGAGUCUUGGUGUCUGUCAAGGGCUACUCCUCUUCAUCUUUGUAAUUAACUUUUUGUUGGAAGGGGAACAAUCCCAUCUUGUACGGCUCCCUCCACCCAUGAGGUUCUGCAGGAAACACACGCAGAGAGGAAGCGGGCGGGGGCCAUUGGUUCCAAACCCCAGGAUGAAGAAAGAAAUUCUCCUGGUUUGCUGGGCUCCUCGAGAGAGCAAGCUUUAUUUGCUGAAAGAGACCAGCUUUCACCCAGGCUGCACCGUGGACUCAGACCACACCAGCAGCGAGAGGGGCCAGCCGCUGACCUGGGCAGAGCUGAGGGUUGAACGGGGCCGCCCAUCUCCCGCCUACACGGUCAGGCCACGCAGCUGCUCCCCGGCCCGGUGACCUCGUCAGCUGCAGGAGAAUCCCGAGGGAACCCCAAGAACAAGCCAAAGCAAGCAAGCCUGAAGGCCAAGGCUUCCUGUACCUUGUGGAAGGACAUCACCCCCACGGACCCCCCAUCCUCUGCCAUUUGCCGGACACUGAAAGCAUCACUCCUGGGACUGUGUCACAAGCAGCAGCCUGCCUGCAGAGGAGGCAGGGCUGUUGUUCCCCUGGGGACCACUCGUGGGGUCUUGAUGGUCCAUGAGAGGCCAGAUGUCAGGAGUUUCCGUCUUGGCACAGUGGUUAAUGAAUCUGACUAGGAACCACGAGGUUGCGGGUUCGCUCUCUGGCCUUGCUCAGUGGGUUAAGGAUCUGGCGUUGCCGUGAGCUGUGUCGUAGGUUGCAGACCCGGCUCAGAUCCCGCAUUGCUGUGGCUCUGGCGGAGGCUGGUGGCUACAGCUCCGAUUAGACCCCUAGCCUGGGAACCUCCAUAUGCCGAGGAAUCGGCCCAAGAAAUGGCAGAAAGACAAAAAAAAAAAAAAAAAAAAAAAAAAAAAAAA
rnacentral:lncRNA from 1 species